UGGGGAAUAUUGCACAAUGGGCGCAAGCCUGAUGCAGCCAUGCCGCGUGUGUGAAGAAGGCCUUCGGGUUGUAAAGCACUUUCAGCGAGGAGGAAGGGUAGUGUGUUAAUAGCACAUUGCAUUGACGUUACUCGCAGAAGAAGCACCGGCUAACUCCGUGCCAGCAGCCGCGGUAAUACGGAGGGUGCAAGCGUUAAUCGGAAUUACUGGGCGUAAAGCGCACGCAGGCGGUGUGUUAAGUCAGAUGUGAAAUCCCCGCGCUUAACGUGGGAACUGCAUUUGAAACUGGCAAGCUAGAGUCUUGUAGAGGGGGGUAGAAUUCCAGGUGUAGCGGUGAAAUGCGUAGAGAUCUGGAGGAAUACCGGUGGCGAAGGCGGCCCCCUGGACAAAGACUGACGCUCAGGUGCGAAAGCGUGGGGAGCAAACA
rnacentral:rRNA from 1 species